GAUGAACGCUAGCGGGAGGCUUAAUACAUGCAAGUCGAACGGUAACAGGGGACUUCGGUCCUGCUGACGAGUGGCGCACGGGUGAGUAACGCGUACACAACCUACCUACGAGAGGGGGAUAGUCACUGGAAACGGUGAAUAAUACCCCAUAGUAUUACUUUUUUGAUGAAUGAGUAAUUAAAGCUUCGGUGCUUGUAGAUGGGUGUGCGUACUAUUAGGUAGUUGGUAAGGUAACGGCUUACCAAGCCGACGAUAGUUAGGGGGCGUGAGAGCGUGAUCCCCCACACGGGUACUGAGACACGGACCCGACUCCUACGGGAGGCAGCAGUAAGGAAUAUUGGACAAUGGGGGGAACCCUGAUCCAGCCAUCCCGCGUGUAGGAAGACUGCCCUAUGGGUUGUAAACUACUUUUAGAUAGGAAGAAUGGUUUCGAUUUAUCGGGAUUUGACGGUACUAUCAGAAUAAGCACCGGCUAACUCCGUGCCAGCCGCCGCCGUAACAC
rnacentral:rRNA from 1 species